GGGUUUUGGUAGUCCUUAAUGACUGUUUCUAAUGGGUUCAAUUUGUCGUGUAUUUGGUCUCGUUUUGGUGUGUUGCAGGUUUCUUGUUAUGGAUCUUUGAAGUGUUUAACAUACAGUAUAUAUCUCCAUCUUGAAUCACUCGAUUAUUAUUAUUAUUUUGUUUAAGGUCUUCCAGUGGUCCCAGAAGCUGUUUGAAUUGAUUGAAUCUUCAACUAUUGACUUUUUUUUUUUUUUUGAGGUGGUGCUCUUUCUUAGUUCUCAGUGUCUGUUCAUGUUGUUUGAGUGUCUCUCCAUACUGAAUACGUAGGUCCUGAUUGUCUGGAGGCCUGUGUUUUUGGGUGGGUAAUUGUCUUGUUUUUUCCUAAUGUUUUUAUAUUCUGAGUCAAACCAUUUUUCUUGCAUUCCUUUUUUUUUUUUUUUUUUUAGGGGUUAGGUUUGGUUUUUGGAAAGGUACGUUUGAUUGUUGUGCCACAAGAUGUGCUUUAUGGCUAUGUUUACUCCUUCUUUACUGCUGAGAUAUGAAUGGGGGGAUGAACUAAUUUAAAAUGUUCUUGAAUUUCAUGGCUGGUCAUUGCUUCCUGAUAUUCAGGUAUUCUGCUUUGCGCCCAUCUUUAUUGAGUUGUUAUGUUAUAUAAUUUACUGGAGGGUUAGGGCCUGGUUGGUUAGAGUGGAGUCUUUUUAGGUAUAUUCAGAUCUGGUUAUGCUUUGAAAAAGGGGUUUGUUGCUUGACUGUGAAUGCUCUGAGAGAGAAAGGGUCCAAAUAUGUUAUUGCGUAAUCUGCUGUGCUACUGCCCCAAAGAGGAGCUGUAGGUGUAGCGGACAAAGGAGUCCCCUCUUAGACGACCAUUGACUAUGUACAGACAGUGGGGCCAACAGAGCUGCAGUAGGUAGUUCUUCCCCAUUUCUAUUUGUUAUUUUAUCAUAGUUAUUCCUUAAUGGAGGAAGAGUAAGACUGAUGUUAGUUUUGUUAUUCAUGCAUUUGUCUCCAUUUAUGUUAGAAUUGUGUGCUUCUUCAGCUGUGUGUGCAUUCAGAUCACCUACAAUUAGGAUAUUUCCCUGGUUUUGUAAGUGGGUGAUGGCUCCCUCUAGA
ensembl:lncRNA